rnacentral:rRNA from 1 species
GAUGAACGCUAGCGAUAGGCCUAACACAUGCAGGUCGAGGGGCAGCAUAGAGUAGCAAUACUUUGAUGGCGACCGGCGCACGGGUGAGUAACACGUAUGCAACCUACCUACAUCAGGGGAAUAACCCGGAGAAAUUCGGACUAAUACCGCAUAAUACAGGGAUGCCGCAUGGCAAUAUUUGUUAAAGAUUUAUCGGAUGUAGAUGGGCAUGCGUUCCAUUAGUUAGUUGGUGAGGUAACGGCUCACCAAGGCAACGAUGGAUAGGGGAACUGAGAGGUUUGUCCCCCACACUGGAACUGAGACACGGACCAGACUCCUACGGGAGGCAGCAGUGAGGAAUAUUGGUCAAUGGACGAGAGUCUGAACCAGCCAAAUCGCGUGAAGGAAGACUGCCCUACGGGUUGUAAACUUCUUUUGUACGGGAAUAAAAGACAUUACGUGUAAUGUAUUGCAUGUACUGUACGAAUAAGCAUCGGCUAACUCCGUGCCAGCCGCCGCCGUAA